GGAUCGGCUAACUCCGUGCCAGCAGCCGCGGUAAUACGGAGGAUCCAAGCGUUAUCCGGAAUCAUUGGGUUUAAAGGGUCCGUAGGCGGUUUUAUAAGUCAGUGGUGAAAUCCGGCAGCUCAACUGUCGAACUGCCAUUGAUACUGUAGAACUUGAAUUAUUAUGAAGUAACUAGAAUAUGUAGUGUAGCGGUGAAAUGCUUAGAGAUUACAUGGAAUACCAAUUGCGAAGGCAGGUUACUAAUAAUACAUUGACGCUGAUGGACGAAAGCGUGGGGAGCAAACAGGAUUAGAUACCCUGGUAGUCCACGCCGUA
rnacentral:rRNA from 1 species